UUUUGCUCGAUUUUUGACAGUUCUCUUGCUUCGAUUGGUACUUUUGGUUUGAGAUGUCCGUUCUCUAAUAAGCUCCAGGCUCUCUAGUUUUAUCGCCUACUACGAUCGUGCAGUUUUUAUCCGAAUGUUUGCGAGACUUCCGCAACAAGCCGUUCCCGACGCGGGCCAAGAUGCACGACGGUGUUGUUCUUCGACUGAAUGACUUACAACAAUCAGUAGGUACUACGAGAUGUGCUUCCGGGCGGAGAACAUGGUGCUGCCGAAGAACGGUCACGACUUGUUCCACUUUCUGAUGACUUCACUGCAGCAUGCACAUUCAGAGCCAGGGCGCGGAGGAGGUUCCGGCCGAUGAAGAUCAGGGCAAGUUGAAGCAAGAAUUCCAGGAUACCAGAAGAAGCCGGAACAGCAGAAGAAAGACCGCUAGGGACUUCUGGACAAGCUGCCGAAGGCGAUUUGAAGAAUCAGUUCAAGGAUCACAACGCUCGCGAGCUCCGUCAGAUUUGGGAAGCUCAAACGGCCACGCACGACCAGCUCAGAACGCUGAGCAGCAAGUUGGAUAAAAUGCACAACUUGGUCAACAAAAUGCAUGACGGAAUGAAUCAGGUGAAGCAGGGCGUGGCGAACGUUCAGCAGAGGAAGCAACAGCCGCAAGCACAAUCCAACGUGCAAUGCCAGAGCGGCAUCGCAAUGAUGCACCUGUUGGUGUUAGUCGGGUAAAACAUGUAUCGCGGUAGCAGAGACGCCCAGGCGAAGAAUUUCUACUAGACACUACGCCAAGGACGACCGCGUCCCGAUAUUCCAGCUGAUUCAAGGAACAAAAACACCCUGGCCGACGAAGACAAUUUGCUCUAGUUGGCGGUCGGUUUCGAACCGUGGCACGAUUAUUAGGCUCCGAACUGCCUUCCCAGUGUAACCCGUAAUUUUUUGAGCGCAACAAGACUGAUUUGCAGAGGACUUUCAAGCGCUCGCUCAUCGCGACAGUUUUCUGCAAGCGUUCCAGGCACGGACCGCCACAUCAAUCCUAACAGAUCUACCUUUGGUUAACCGAUGACCUUUGGAAUAAACUGUAAGUAGAAGACCUUUUUUAUAAACACAGUUAGCUUUCCUAUAAUAUCUUCCACAAAAAGCAUUACAGUGAGAUACGCUCAUAUUCAAGUGUUAGUUUGAGUGACCAAAAAUGGUUUCAUCACUUUUUCAAGCCUCGUUGAAUUUAGAUUUUGAUAUGUUGUCUAAAGCUCUGACUUGUAUUGUUUUUAGCACUUAGAAUGCAUGCUUUUGUUUUGUUUGAGCUAAAAUCAAAUCAAUACAAAACCUUAAGCAUGUGUUUUGAAAAUGCUACGGGCCAAUACAAAUCGCGAUGCUUUUGAAAAUUACAUCAGAUUCUAGAUUCAACGGGGUAAAAAAAUUUACCGCUUUCUUAAAUUUACGUAGAUUUCAUCGUAAAUUUACAUGUUUUGAAGUACCUUUUAGUUCGGCUCAUUUACGUUGGAUGUCAUGUAAAUUUAAAAUGAAACUCAUUUAAAUUAGCAUCAUUAAUGACGUGCACUUUUGGUACAUCAUAAAUGAUGUAAAUUUACCGGAUUAUUUUUUUC